CUACCUAGUAGUAUGGAAUAGCCAUUAGAAAUGAUGGGUAAUACUGUAUAAUCCCUGCGGGGGAAAGAUUUAUCGCUAUUAGAUGAGCCUACGUUAGAUUAGCUAGUGGGUAAGGUAAUGGCUUACCAAGGCUAUGAUCUAUAGCUGGUCUGAGAGGACGAUCAGCCACACUGGAACUGAGAUACGGUCCAGACUCCUACGGGGGGCAGCAGUGGGGAAUAUUGGACAAUGGGCGAAAGCCUGAUCCAGCUAUGCCGCGUGAGUGAAGAAGGCCUUCGGGUUGUAAAGCUCUUUCAAUAGGGAAGAUAAUGACGGUACCUAUAA
rnacentral:rRNA from 1 species